GGGGGGGGGUGGGGGGGGGGCGAGGGGGGGGGGGGCGAAGGGUGGCAGGAAGGAGCGUGCGUCUGGGCGGACGAGGGGGGGACGGGUGAGUAAUGUCGGGGGAACUGCCGGAUGGGGGGGGAUAAAUACUGGAAACGGUAGCUAAUACCGCCGAACGUCGCAAGACCAAAGAGGGGGACCGUCGGGCCGCUUGCCAUCGGAUGUGCCCAGAUGGGAUUAGCUAGUAGGUGGGGUAACGGCUCACCUAUGGGACGAUCCCUAGAUGGUCUGAGAGGAUGACCAGCCACACUGGAACUGAGACACGGUCCAGACUCCUACGGGAGGCAGCAGUGGGGAAUAUUGCACAAUGGGCGCAAGCCUGAUGCAGCCAUGCCGCGUGUAUGAAGAAGGCCUUCGGGUUGUAAAGUACUUUCAGCGGGGAGGAAGGGAGUAAAGUUAAUACCUUUGCUCAUUGACGUUACCCGCAGAAGAAGCACCGGCUAACUCCGUG
rnacentral:rRNA from 1 species